rnacentral:lncRNA from 1 species
GUAGCUCCCACCCGACGUGGUGGCCUCCUUGCGGUUUCCUUUCGCCGUUUCCGAACCGAGGGAUUGCUACUCGCCUUUGGCUUGGCGGUCUCUGUGCUCGGGGGUCCGAAAACUGCUGGAAGGCCCCCGGUCUCUGGAGGGGAGCAGGCGGUAGCGAGUUUAGUGACGUGGAGCAGGCGCAGAACAGUCGGAGGUACCUGAGUGGUUAUUAAAAACGAUUUGAAGAGAUUUCCUGGGUGUGGAGUGUGACUUUCCAAAACCAGCUUUUCCUUGAGCUGUAUUUGUUGCAGCAAUGUUUAGGAGAUUGACUUUUGCACAACUGCUUUUUGCCACUGUCCUUGGAAUUGCUGGAGGAGUAUAUAUUUUUCAACCAGUAUUUGAACAGUAUGCCAAAGAUCAGAAGGAAUUAAAAGAAAAGAUGCAGUUGGUACAAGAAUCAGAAGAGAAGAAAAGUUAAUACUACAUGGAGUUAGGCCUGGCGCAGUGGCUCACGCCUGUAAUCCCAGCACUUUGGGAGGCCGAGGCGGGUGGAUCAGGUGGUCAGGAGUUCAAGACCAGCCUGACCAACAUGGUGAAACCCUGUCUCUACUGAAAAUACAAAAAUCAGCCAGGCUUGGUGGCAUGCGCCUGUAAUCCCAGCUACUUGGGAGGCUGAGGCAGGAGCAUCACUUGAACCUGGGAGGCAGAGGUGGCAGUGAGUCAAGAUCACGCUGCUGCACUCCAGCCUGGGUGACAGAGCGAGACUCCAUCUAAAAAAACAAAA